rnacentral:rRNA from 1 species
AACGAACGCUGGCGGCAUGCCUAACACAUGCAAGUCGAACGAGACCUUCGGGUCUAGUGGCGCACGGGUGCGUAACGCGUGGGAACCUGCCCUUAGGUUCGGAAUAACUCCCCGAAAGGGGUGCUAAUACCGGAUAAUGUCUUCGGACCAAAGAUUUAUCGCCUUUGGAUGGGCCCGCGUUGGAUUAGCUAGUUGGUAGGGUAAAAGCCUACCAAGGCGACGAUCCAUAGCUGGUCUGAGAGGAUGAUCAGCCACACUGGGACUGAGACACGGCCCAGACUCCUACGGGAGGGAGCAGUAGGGAAUAUUGGACAAUGGGCGAAAGCCUGAUCCAGCAAUGCCGCGUGAGUGAUGAAGGCCUUAGGAUUGUAAAGCUCUUUUACCCGGGAUGAUAAUGACAGUACCGGGAGAAUAAGCUCCGGCUAACUCCGUG